rnacentral:rRNA from 1 species
GGAAUCUUCGGAUUCUAGUGGCGGACGGGUGAGUAACGCGUAAGAAUCUAACUUCAGGACGGGGACAACAGUUGGAAACGACUGCUAAUACCCGAUGUGCCGAAAGGUGAAACCUAAUUGGCCUGAAGAAGAGCUUGCGUCUGAUUAGCUAGUUGGUGGGGUAAGAGCCUACCAAGGCGACGAUCAGUAGCUGGUCUGAGAGGAUGAGCAGCCACACUGGGACUGAGACACGGCCCAGACUCCUACGGGAGGCAGCAGUGGGGAAUUUUCCGCAAUGGGCGAAAGCCUGACGGAGCAACGCCGCGUGAGGGAGGAAGGUCUUUGGAUUGUAAACCUCUUUUCUCAAGGAAGAAGUUCUGACGGUACUUGAGGAAUCAGCCUCGGCUAACUCCGUGCCAGCAGCCGCGGUAAUACGGGGGAGGCAAGCGUUAUCCGGAAUUAUUGGGCGUAAAGCGUCCGCAGGUGGUCAGCCAAGUCUGCCGUCAAAUCAGGUUGCUUAACGACCUAAAGGCGGUGGAAACUGGCAGACUAGAGAGCAGUAGGGGUAGCAGGAAUUCCCAGUGUAGCGGUGAAAUGCGUAGAGAUUGGGAAGAACAUCGGUGGCGAAAGCGUGCUACUGGGCUGUAUCUGACACUCAGGGACGAAAGCUAGGGGAGCGAAAGGGAUUAGAUACCCCUGUAGUCCUAGCCGUAAACGAUGGAUACUAGGCGUGGCUUGUAUCGACCCGAGCCGUGCCGAAGCUAACGCGUUAAGUAUCCCGCCUGGGGAGUACGCACGCAAGUGUGAAACUCAAAGGAAUUGACGGGGGCCCGCACAAGCGGUGGAGUAUGUGGUUUAAUUCGAUGCAACGCGAAGAACCUUACCAAGACUUGACAUGUCGCGAACCCNGGNGAAAGCUGGGGGUGCCNUCGGGAGCGCGAACACAGGUGGUGCAUGGCUGUCGUCNNCUCGUGUCGUGAG